AUGAUGCUAGGAAGGCAGCUGGUGCUCUACCAAUGCUGAAGGCCAGUUGUUAGGAAAUCUGUAUGUGAUGGCUCAAGAUUAAGUUGGCAAAGGCCUUACCAGAAAAGCACUGCUAUCUAAGAAAAAAAUCUCUACAGCACGGCUGAGAAAUUUACCAAUUGGAUCUCAGGCUCCAGCAUGCAACAUGCAACCAUUAAGAAAGGAGUAGACAAGAGUUAAGGACCACGAAGUUUGGAUGCUGGAGAACUGUGCCUGUGAAGGAGGAUGAAGAAUAAGAUGGAGGCAGAAGUGGCAAAGACAGCAGACUACAGAUGCAGUGUUUAGAAGAUGAGUGAAUUUGGUAUUGACCUGAAGAACUUUAGAAUCUGGGAGGUUGAAGACAGCAAGUAUUUAUGGCAACAGCCAAAUAUUAAGGAAUGAAGGAAGAAAAUGAUGAGAAGCAACUCAAAAAUCAUAGGAGAUUAGGGCCAUCUAUGGAGAAGGAACAAUCCUAUGCCUCUUAGUGUCUCCAGAGAGCAUCACUGCAUUGCAGUCUAGUAAGCAAAUUCAUGCUCAUAAUAAGAAUAAGAAUUAGUUACCUGUAAAAGUCUACUGCCUAAAGUACCCUUAUAAGGAAUGGGACAUUAUUGCAAUGAGACAUAUUUAGAACAGGAUUUUAGAGUUCCAGUUUAAGCCACAUAACAUGAAAAGUGUGGAGAUUAUCUCAAAUAUUCAAGGUGAGAUUGAGAACUACUGUAACGUGUAUCCGAUUUCAGUCUGAAAAGAUACUCUGUGAAUUUCAUUUAUCUGUGAUACCUUCAAAUCUGGAUGAAAAUGAGAUCUGGAGGUUCUUGAUUAUGUGUGGAUUCAUCCCAUUUAUGCUAGUGCAUUAAUUAUUAUGAAUUAUAAAGAGCAUCAAUACAGUAAGAUCAAUAUGAAAUAACAAAAGUUAAAGUUCUUUCUCUUCCUCCCUAUGUAGUGUACUUGACUUGCUGAAUGAGGGCAGCCAGCAUAAUCCAAGCUUUGGGAGUUAUGUCUCUUAAGUAGCAGGUACUCUACUUUCUCAAGAAGUUUUGGUCAUGGGCUUUAAUGAGUCCCUCCUGAACUGACCCUACCUUUGCCAUCAGCUCAGUCUCUGCAGAGUUAGAGUCCUGUUUGUAAAAUGUUAGUGAUUACAAUUCAUCCUUCAGAAGCAUUUUAUAGGGUACAUAAAACCCAUUACAGAACCCAAGCGCUAAUUAAUGAUACCACGCAGCAUGUGCUUGCUCUUCCCUCUAACAUUACCUGAUCAGCCACAGCGCGAGCUAAUUUGUCCAUUCGAGAACCUGCUUCAGCGAUUUUCUUGGCAGCAUUAAUAACAUCAGAUGUAUUUUUCAAUGGGCCUUUGCCUCUGAAACAACAUAUAUAACAUAAUUAGAAAUUCACUUUUGAGAAGAAACAAACAAACCUACCAUAUUGUUUGUCCAGGACUUUGCUUUUAUAUUUGAUUUUAUUCUGGCCACAUAAGAGGAAUUUUGAACAUUUUCUGGAUUCACUUCAUUUUCCAUGUUAAUAGUGCACUUUACUUCCAUUCACUUUUAAGGAAUAUUUUUCCCUAUUUUGAUGUGCAUGCUCAUAUUUUAUU